GCGCGUCUAGUUAGCAAUUAUACCGUGAAACUGCGAAUGGCUCAUUAAAUCAGUUAUCGUUUAUUUGAUAGUACCUUACUACUUGGAUAACCGUGGUAAUUCUAGAGCUAAUACAUGCUGAAAACCCCAACUUCGGGAGGGGUGUAUUUAUUAGAUAAAAAACCAACGCCCUUCGGGGCUUCUUGGUGAUUCAUGAUAACUUCACGGAUCGCAUGGCCUUGCGCCGGCGACGGUUCAUUCAAAUUUCUGCCCUAUCAACUUUCGAUGGUAAGGUAUUGGCUUACCAUGGUUUCAACGGGUAACGGGGAAUUAGGGUUCGAUUCCGGAGAGGGAGCCUGAGAAACGGCUACCACAUCCAAGGAAGGCAGCAGGCGCGCAAAUUACCCAAUCCCGACACGGGGAGGUAGUGACAAUAAAUACUGAUACAGGGCUCUUUUGGGUCUUGUAAUUGGAAUGAGUACAAUUUAAACCUCUUAACGAGGAACAAUUGGAGGGCAAGUCUGGUGCCAGCAGCCGCGGUAAUUCCAGCUCCAAUAGCGUAUAUUAAAGUUGUUGCAGUUAAAAAGCUCGUAGUUGAAACUUGGGCCUGGCUGGCAGGUCCGCCUCACCGCGUGUACUUGUCCGGCCGGGCCUUUCCUUCUGGAGAACCUCAUGCCCUUCACUGGGUGUGUUGGGGAACCAGGACUUUUACUUUGAAAAAAUUAGAGUGUUCAAAGCAGGCCUUUGCUCGAAUACGUUAGCAUGGAAUAAUAGAAUAGGACGUGCGGUCCUAUUUUGUUGGUUUCUAGGACCGCCGUAAUGAUUAAUAGGGACAGUCGGGGGCAUCAGUAUUCAAUUGUCAGAGGUGAAAUUCUUGGAUUUAUUGAAGACUAACUACUGCGAAAGCAUUUGCCAAGGAUGUUUUCAUUAAUCAGUGAACGAAAGUAAGGGGAUCGAAGACGAUCAAAUACCGUCGUAGUCUUAACCGAAACUAUGCCGACAGGGGAUCGGGCGAUGUCCUUUUCUGAUCCGUCGGACCU
rnacentral:rRNA from 1 species